UACAGAGGGUGCGAGCGUUAAUCGGAAUUACUGGGCGUAAAGCGCGCGUAGGCGGCUUUGUAAGUCGGUUGUGAAAUCCCCGGGCUUAACCUGGGAACUGCAUCCGAGACUGCAUAGCUAGAGUAUGGGAGAGGGAAGUGGAAUUUCAGGUGUAGCGGUGAAAUGCGUAGAUAUCUGAAGGAACAUCAGUGGCGAAAGCGACUUCCUGGACCAAUACUGACGCUCAUGUGCGAAAGCGUGGGGAGCCAA
rnacentral:rRNA from 1 species